rnacentral:lncRNA from 9 species
CGUCCCCGGCGGGCCCCGGCUUCCGCGCGCACCCCUGCCGCGCGGUUCUCGGGCAGUCGGCGCAAGUCUCAACCGGCUCGGAACGAGAGGCACCUGCCCGUCCGCCAGCCUCAAAACAGCGCGCGGUGCCGCUCCCGGGAUACCUGGGUUCCCGCUGGUCCUGCCACGACCCCCGGGGCGCUCCUCGCUUCGGCCUUAUUAGGAGGCGGCCCCCGCAGGGAGCAGGAAGCAUAAAGUCUCUGCAAACCCUUCCAGAGGGCGGACGACGGUGGAGUGCUGAAUUAUACCCAUAUGGCCAACAGAUGGGACCCUGGGCUGCAGGAGCUGUAGGCCCCCCCGGGAGAACCUCUCUUCUCUGCCCUGCGCGGGCUCUUGAGGACCGUGGUCAAAGGAGCCCAAGUCUUGCAUCGCGGCAUCCUGACACACACUCAUUGGCCCCAUGAAGUCGGGGGCGCUGAUUGAGAAGCGUUAUGAUGAGGUCACUGCCAGCCGUGAAUGCGCUCUCUGCGUGCCAGGAACGACCGCAUCCUGUUCCACGUCCUGGAACUGCUGGGCUCAGGUGUGCAGCCCCGUGGCCAGGUGUCCAUCGUUAAAAUCCACUUUCCAGAGGCGCUCCCGUCCCGUGCAAGUGAGCCCCACUGCGUGCCCAGACCUGUGCUGGACAUCAGUGCAAAGGAAGCAGAACUACCGCCUGCCCGAGAGCCUUCUGUGUAGCUCGGGGGUGAAAGCACCCUGGCCGGUACCUCCGUGCCCCCCACCACAGCCUUCCUCCCACCCCUCAGGACGUCGAAUAAUGCCGCCCCACAAAGAAGUUGGCUCCCAUCCUUCCUCUGCUGACGGAGUCGUUUGGGGCUGGAUGUGCUCAGGGAGAGGUCAUAAGGUAAGAUAGGAGGUGGGCGAGCAGCCCUGCUGUAUGAAACCUCAACUUUCCACAUCCUGCUCCUCUUCAAGGCCAGCUCUGGGCCAGCACCUCGGGGACCCUGGGCCCCUCUGGUCCACAGGGUGAGCUCCCUUCAGAGACACAGCACCGGCCAUGCAGGGCUGGGUACCUGGCAGGUGAAAGCUCUGCCUCCUCCACCCGAGUGGGGGCUCCUGGAGGUUAAGGGGUCAUGUCUUCUUGGCUUUUAUCCCCAUAUGUCAGCACAGGGGGGCCCCCGGAGAGUUUUUUCCCCCAGCAUGCCUGGGAACUGCCAUCAGCCACCAUCGUGAAGCUGAGGUGUUUGCUUGUCAUCACUUACAUAUUUUCGCUUAAAUACCAUACGUUUUCUUUUUGUAUCUUCCAAUGAAUGAAAGGAAAAAAAAUGUAUAUGGGGGGGUGUGAAAAUUAACUCAUAAAAUCCUUGACUUACCAAAAAAAUUCAGAAAUGUGCUUCAUACAACAGAUGUGGCAUUGGGAUUCUCCUUUCAUGUGCGACCCCAGGAUGGAAGGGCUGCCAGCGCGUACCGAGGAAGUAUUUCUCAUCUCUGUAAAGUUGAUAGAAUCUAAUUCUUAGUGGAGAAACUUGCUGCGGUGUUAGUUUGUGUAACUGCCCCUGUUUAACUGGGUUUAGGCUAAUCCCAAUCCCAAGAGCAGUUAAUCAGUUAUCUACGAUGGUGUGGAGGCACAAUUUGUGCAUUAAAGGGCAAAAGCACACUGUUCAGGUGGGCUGGCCCUUGGGAGCCCUCCUGAGAUAUUUCACAGCGGGUAUGAUAGUGGGGAGGACAUAUUUGUUUCACCUGCUUAAAAUGUUUUCAGACCAAUAACCUUGUGGCCAUUCUCUGUGUUAGAUCCAAUUUCAAGCUCUUUUCUUCUGGAGCAUCUUGGUCGUCCACUGCGCUCCUUUAGUCUACUUCUGCAGUGAGUGGGGUAUGUGUGUCCUUUCCUGCACUGGAACAUUUAUAAAUGUAGCAAGCCUUCCUCUGCUUUGGCUGCUGACUAAAUCCUAUGACUCUACACCUAACAACCUCAUAAUAGGGAGGCCUCGUCGUUGUGCAGGUUGCACACUGCACAACUCCAAGAAUGCAUUUACAUGGACCACAAUGGAACCUCCAGAGCUGUAUUAGAACGACCUGCACAAUACUCCAGUAAAAGCCCCAUCUCAUAAAUUUCUCUACAUGCCAAGGGCUCUCUUCUAAUACCACCCUGACAAAACAGACAAAAUCCUACCCCCAGGAAGCUACAUUCUAGUGGGGGAAAUACAUAAUAAACAAAUUACAGAUCCUAGUGUAAUUAUGUCACACUAUAUAUUCAUUGUACAUAAAUACAUAUGUGCUAUGUAAUAUAAUGUAAGAAUUAUGUAAAUUAUAAUGGAUAAAGUAGAAAUAAAUCAGGGAAGGGAGAGAGUGGCGGAGGUGAAUUUUAGAGGCGAGAUCUGGGAAGCUUUCUGAGAGAGCCAUUUGGCGAGCCUGAGUGAGGAUGUGCUGUGUUCCCGGGGGAAGGACACUCCACACAGAAGGACAGCACGUGCAAGCCCUGGGCAGGAGUGUGACCAGUGCGAAGAAGCGGCAGGGAGGCUGGUGUGCUACAAUGGGGGCAGAGGAUAGUUGUGGUCAGAUGGAUCCGAGCAGGCCACCAGGCUUUGGAGGCGUGAUGUACUUGGAGCUUACUCUGCAUCCGAUGAGAGCGUCCAAGGUUUUGAGUAGGGAGUGGCAAAUUUCAAAAAAUCACCCUGACCACAAGUUGAGAUCAGACAACGGAUACAGAGGAGGAAGCAGGAGACUAAUUAGGAGCAACUGGGGGGAUUCCGAGGUGCGUGCCCUGAGCCAGCUUGGUGGUGGGAGCCAGCUUGGUGGUGGGGUCAAGUUAGGGAGGUGGGCAGGGGCAGGGCGUCCAGGUUGAGUCUUGCCUCCACGUUGCAGGAACUUGGGUUUGAUUUCCCAGCAGGGGGGCUGAGAUUUAUCCUGACUGCCAAGUGCAGCAGGGCUACGGCAUGAGGGGUGUCCCGGGCAUGGGGAACAAGAUGCUGGGAGGCUGGACCAGGACAGAAAUGGUGCAAGUGGGAGAUUUGCUCGGUUGUGCUCUGAGGCCUGCUGACAGACUGAGGAAGCAAGAGGAAAGUCAAGGCGGACUCCUGGGUUGUGGCUUGAGCACGGAAUGGAUGUUGGUUCUGUAUGAAAGUGGAAAACUGGAAGAGAACCAGCCAGGUUUGGGGAGAAACAAGGGGUUCCACUACGACCAAUGACAUAAGACGAUGUUAAAUGGGAGAUGCUAUUAGUCACUUGGCGUUCUGUGUGUAACUCAAAGGAAGUCACACAUUUCAAUUACUAUUUGUCGAAUGAGUAAGUGGUGCAGCCCUUCUGGAUGGGGGCCAGACUGGAGUCAAAGAUGCAAUUCGAGUGAUGAUGCUAAACACACCCCAGGGGAAGCUGCCACCCUGUUACUGUCACGGUCGUUUCAGCAUUGGCAGAGGAGCUGGGUGGAACGAAGAUUCUCUGCUAUGGCAAAGGGUCUGCGUGGAGGAGAGACGGCAGGACCUGUGCCCAGGCCGGGAUUGAACCAAUCCUCGUGAGUACCAUCCAUGUGAUUGUUUCCGCUGCACCACAGCAGGAACUCCUAUCUGUCUUUUAAUUUAGCCUCCCAGUGUAUGUGAAGUGGUAUCUCAUGGCAGUUUUGAUUUGUGUUGUCUUAUGACUAUGAGGUUUGCUUCUGUCAUUUCAGCCUCUGAGGAGUGGGGUCCCCAGACCAGGACAUGAUGGUAAUUAGAAUAGUGCUGUCGACGCUUCCCUUCAAGCUAAAGAGGUGCAGGUUUAUCAGAGUAGGAGCCAACAGGAGCUCUUUCGCAACACGUGUGGUUUUUGCUGAAGCUGGCAGUGGAAGUGAACACUCCCAAAACAGUUUAAAAAUUAUUUUCACACACUAAACAGUAGCUGAAGAAAAAAUAAACUAAUGUGGAUAAAAGAGAAACUCUACCGGAAGAGAUUUUAUUAUUUAAAUACUUUCUAGGAUGAUAUUUAUUUGCAGGGAAACCCACUCCCCAACUCCCUCCUGCGCUGGGCGAAUGGCACCACUGCGUGGACAAAGACUGCCUAUCACCUGCCAUUUCAGAAAACAAAACAUGCCAUGGCCAUCGAGCCAUCAGCCACAGCAGCCGACCCAGACGGGACACCCUGAGGGGAAUUUAGGAUGGAGAAAAGCAGGACACUGGCCCUAAAUAUUAGGAUGCAUAUCGAAGGCUUAGUUUCAGGAGCCCAGACUCUUGCAUCGCCCCAAGCAUAGAAAGCACUAAAAUCAUUAACGUCAGACGUCUGAUUUCUUUUAAUUAGUGAUAAUCUUUGAGGUUUGACAACAUUUUUUCAUUUGUUUUGUUUUUCAGCAAAAGCUCAUAUAAGCCUUAGCUUGUUGCAAGAGUCCUUCGAUGUUUCCAUGAGGCUGUAUCCCAGGCUCUAGUCCUCAGAGAUUCCCCAGAUAAAACACAGUUCUCAACUCUGAGGUUGGGCAUUUUUUCUUUUCCGUCGACACCCAGGACAUCCACUGGUCCUGUACUAUCCGAGAGAAACAGGCACUUUCUUAGAUCUGGGAGUUAAACUUCCUUCAGAGACAUCUCAUGGCAACUACCUCACGCACGGACUGUUUCCUGCCUGCUGGGGUUUUAUUGGGAGCCCUCUGUUGCACAAUCACAAGAAUUUCAGUGUUCCCAGCCUGCAGUUCUGGAUUAGAGGGUGCAGUUCUGGGAUUAGAGGGCUAAGUUCCUGGGGCCCUGGAAGGAAAAUCUAGCACUAGGAUUCUCUAAAGCCUAAACUUGAUGGGAAAUGGGUUUGAUGUUCACUUAGUGUGCAAACCAGGAAUUCCCUAAAAAUGACAUUGCGAGUCUAGUGGGAAUCCUACCAACAUGUUCGGGGAGGUUCCAGAACUUUCAUCAUUGUUUGGGAAAUGGGAUUCCAAUCUUGAAUGCCUCCUUCCCAGGGUCAUUCUUUCAUCCUGUAUCAUGAUGCCUGACUCUGCUUUUUAGAGCUUAUAGCAGGAGACAUCUCCCACCACGGCAGAUUUUUAAAAAAGAAGUUUGCAGUUGUUUACACAUACCCUGUUCUCUGGGGAACUUGGGUCAGGAUCCGAUUGUAGACCAGUUUUGUGCUCUGGGAGCAGCCAGCUGGAGAGACAGUUAAAGAGAGAGAGGAGAAGCAGCAGCUAAAGGCAGGCUUUGUACAUUUUGUAAACAGUCUGGCUCUAUCACCUACAGCCCAUGUGGUCUGGGGCAAAUGACUUCUAAGAACCUCCAUUUCCUCCUCUGAAAAACCAAGGUAAGGCUGCUUACUCACCACAAAAGGCUGAUAUGAGGCAUAUAUAAACCACCAAGAGAGCACUUGUGCUCAGCGAUACCGAAGAGGCUAUGGUUGUUUUUGCUCUUCCUCCAGCAGCGAGUGGAAUGCGCCUCUCCUUGUCUCAUCUGCCUCCUCCCAGACCCCCACCCCAAAACCCAGGGGAGAACUCCGGGCAUCCAGAAGUGUUCCAGAACACUGUUCUUAGGUGAAACAAUUCAGGUUUCCAGUUGAAUAAAAGACAAUAGAUGAGUGGAUUUGGUCAUGAAACAGAUAUGUACAGAGACCCUGUUAAUGUUCCAGACUGUUCUAGGCACAGAAGAAACAGCUGUGAAUGAAACAGACAAGAAUCCAUGCCUCAUGGAGCUUCUCUGCUAGAAAGGAGAGAGAGACUCUAAAUAAAGAAAUCGCGGAAAUGGACGGUAACUGGAGGAAGGGCUAUGCCAAAAAUAAAUCGAGGAAGGAGAAGGCCAGUGGAAGGGGACAGGGAGGCCAGAGAUGAGUCAGGGAGGUCGUCUUCUUUUUUAAAGAUUCUUAACAUUUAUUGAAGCGUAACGUACACACAGAAAAGUAUGCGUGUCAGAGUUCCCGUCGUGGCUCAGCGGUUAACAAAUCCGACUAGGAACCAUGAGGUUGUGGGUUCGAUCCCUGGCCUUGCUCAGUGGGUUGAUGAUCCGGCAUUGCCGUGAGCUCUGGUGUAGGUUGCAGACGCGGCUCGGAUCCUGCUUGCUGUGGCUAUGGUGUAGGCCAGUGGCUACAACUCCGACUCGACCCCUAGCCUGGGAAUCUCCAUAUGCCUCUGGUGCGGCCCUAGAAAAGGCAAAAAGACGAAAAA